GAUGAACGCUAGCGGCAGGCUUAAUACAUGCAAGUCGAGGGGCAGCAUAAUUGUAGCAAUACAGUUGAUGGCGACCGGCAAACGGGUGCGGAACACGUACAGAACCUUCCUUCGAGCGGGGAAUAGCCCAGAGAAAUUUGGAUUAAUACCCCAUAGUAUUACGGAGUGGCAUCACUUUGUAAUUAAAGAUUUAUCACUUGAAGAUGGCUGUGCGGCUGAUUAGGUAGUUGGCGGGGUAACGGCCCACCAAGCCUGCGAUCAGUAACUGGUGUGAGAGCACGACCAGUCACACGGGCACUGAGACACGGGCCCGACUCCUAUGGGAGGCAGCAGUAAGGAAUAUUGGUCAAUGGACGAAAGUCUGAACCAGCCAUGCCGCGUGAAGGAUGAAGGUCCUCUGGAUUGUAAACUUCUUUUAUAUGGGACGAAAAAAGGCUUUUCUAAGUCGUCUGACGGUACCAUAUGAAUAAGCACCGGCUAACUCCGUGCCAGCAGCCGCGGUAAGAC
rnacentral:rRNA from 1 species